AUUGAACGCUGGCGGCAUGCCUUACACAUGCAAGUCGAACGGCAGCACGGGUGCUUGCACCUGGUGGCGAGUGGCGAACGGGUGAGUAAUACAUCGGAACAUGUCCUGUAGUGGGGGAUAGCCCGGCGAAAGCCGGAUUAAUACCGCAUACGAACUACGGAUGAAAGCGGGGGACCUUCGGGCCUCGCGCUAUAAGGUUGGCCGAUGGCUGAUUAGCUAGUUGGUGGGGUAAAGGCCUACCAAGGCGACGAUCAGUAGCUGGUCUGAGAGGACGACCAGCCACACUGGGACUGAGACACGGCCCAGACUCCUACGGGAGGCAGCAGUGGGGAAUUUUGGACAAUGGGCGAAAGCCUGAUCCAGCAAUGCCGCGUGUGUGAAGAAGGCCUUCGGGUUGUAAAGCACUUUUGUCCGGAAAGAAAUCCUUGGCCCUAAUACGGUCGGGGGAUGACGGUACCGGAAGAAUAAGCACCGGCUAACUACGUG
rnacentral:rRNA from 1 species